rnacentral:rRNA from 1 species
AACGAACGCUGGCGGCAUGCCUAACACAUGCAAGUCGAACGAGACCUUCGGGUCUAGUGGCGCACGGGUGCGUAACGCGUGGGAACCUGCCCUUAGGUUCGGAAUAACUCCCCGAAAGGGGUGCUAAUACCGGAUAAUGUCUUCGGACCAAAGAUUUAUCGCCUUUGGAUGGGCCCGCGUUGGAUUAGCUAGUUGGUAGGGUAAAAGCCUACCAAGGCGACGAUCCAUAGCUGGUCUGAGAGGAUGAUCAGCCACACUGGGACUGAGACACGGCCCAGACUCCUGGGGGAGGGGGAGGGGGGGAAUAUUGAAAAGGGGGGGAAGGUCGGACCCAGAAUGGCGGGGGGAGAAGGGAGGGCCUGGGGGUUUAAAGUCUUUUUACCCGGGGAUGAAAAGGACGGGACGGGGAAAAAAAGCCCCGGCAAACUCCGGG